rnacentral:tRNA from 4 species
UGCGGGAUUGUGUAAGGGUAGCACGAAUGACUCUGGAUCAUUUUGUGAGGGUUCGAAUCCUUCUCCCGCAGCCA